UUUGCUUCAGGGUAUACUCUUGGG
rnacentral:piRNA from 1 species